CAAGGAUUCCCUUAGUAACGGCGAGUGAAGCGGGAAGUAGCUCAAGCUUGAANCCGNUCACGUAUNNCAACCUAUGUGACUGGAAUGUAGCCUUGAGAGUCGAUGCGAGGCGGGUGUCUUGGAGAGGUCUAAGUUCCUUGGAAUAGGACAUCGGAGAGGGUGAGAAUCCCGUCACUGACCUCCUCCGCACCUGUCUCACUCUUAUCUGCUCUACGAGUCGAGUUGUUUGGGAUUGCAGCUCCAUCGAGGUGGGAACGUCCAUCUGAAGCUCCAUAUUGACGAGAGACCGAUAGCGAACAAGUACCGUGAGGGAAAGAUGAAAAGCACUUUGAAAGGAGAGUGACAUAGGACUUGAAGUUGCUAGGAGGGAAGCGGGUGUGUCGCUGGACAAUACAUAUGUAUGUCUCCUCCUACUUCACUCGAUACAGAAGCUAGCGGAAGGGUAAGCUUGCUUCGGGAAGCUGGUACAGUCCGCUUAGUGGGUUUGGAGGGUAGUAUGAGAGGAGACAGACGGCGGCUCCCCGACC
rnacentral:rRNA from 1 species